CUUCGGCCGCAGCAGCACGCAGUGCAGAAGUGCCCUCUGGCUGCUGUGCCCUGCCUUACAGGAGGUGCUGCUAUUUGGCCCUCGUGAGCGCCGCAUCUCUAAUUGCUGCUCUCCGAGGUGCCGUUGUCUGUGCGGGCUCUGGGCACACAACCAGCGCAGGCCGGGCAGCUGUGUGCACACCCGGAGACCCGGCUGCUGCGUGAGAAACCUCUCCACAGCUGGAGAGUUUCUGAAGCAGACCAAAGGACAGUGAUGGCCCCGAGCAUACGGUGCUGAGCCCACCAUGGCAGCGUGGGGCAGCGCCUGCAGCACUGACAGCAGCUACACGCAGCCUUAUCUACCCCAGCAACUCUCAGGUUCAAGGGCAAAGAGAGAAAAGAAUGCAAGAAAAUAGCAAGAAAUAGAUCAACAUGAAAAAGAAAGCACCAAUUUGGAAAGUGCUGUUGGAAUUUGACAGGAAUAACAGCCCACGGCCGCCCUCCCAGCAGCAGCUCAUUCACCUCUGGCAGCCACAUGUGGCCUUUCCACAGACGAAAAAAUACAGCGAAAACGUUCCUACCUUCCAUGAGGCCAAACCAGGGUUCCAUGGCUCUUCUCCAGGCUCUGAUAACAUCACCACUGCAAACACCGGAGAGAUCAUUCCAGACCUCAGGGACUACAGAUGCCACGUGGGAAGCGCCUGGGCAGCCGGCCGCACGCGAAACCUGGAUGUCUUCCUGCAAGCCCCUGGGAUAGCUGAAACCAGAGGGACAUUAAGCAGAAACCAUAAAGUCACAUUUCUGGAAUGCUUUAGUCAUCAAAGCUCUGUGCAAGUAAAUCUGCUGCACCUGGAGAAGAUGCACGGAGAUCUGACAGAGUGGGUAGCGGAGGAAUGCACUGUGGAGAGCCUGCAGGUCAUCCCCAGCACAGCCGGGACACCCAACCACACCUGUGUCUUACGCACGUCCACGAGAAGGCACUUCCAUAGAAGAUUUAUUUUCAGAAGCAAAGUGUUCCUGGCAGUGAUUUCAAAUCACACCGUAACAGCAACACCACCCAAGCAGAAAGCUUUUUCCAAUGGCUCAUCUACCCCACAUGUGCGCUCAGAGCAGCAGACUUCCCAAGAGAAAAUUCCAUCUGCAAAUGGCAAAGAUUCGCUGGUCAGACAAAAUAUAAGUAUCUUCAUGAAAGCGUUCAUCGUCUGCAUCCUGUUAGCGCCCAUGAUAUGCUAUACCAUAUUUUUCAUACAUGAAAUAAGCCACUUGUGUUCGUGCCCUGACUGGAUCGGCAGCAGAUGGAGCAGAAGCAAAUGCAUAUCUGCAGCCCCCACCCCAGUGGAUCACCAGUCAGGAACACUCUCAGCCCAGCUACCUGAGGACAGAAAGAAGUCAGUGCUAUGUUUUGCCUGACUCUCAGAAUCCCUUCCACAGAUCCUUACAUGAGAAGAUCCCAAAUUAUUGUCAUCCACAAAACCUACUUAAGAAAUGCUGCAGGCCUUAGAGAAACACUGUUUUUACAAACAAAAAAAAAAGCAUCAUCUUCCUCCUCACCACUUACUGGGAACAGCAGAUUGAACAUCAGCAGCUUAAAUAACCACAGCUUCAACCGCUGCAGACUGAAACCAGACCUAAUAUCAGAAGCAACAUUUACCUGGUUAGGAGCAAUCACAUCAAUUCACUGCGAAGCGAGGUGCUGUGAAGACACCCACAUGCUGAUUCCUUCCAUUAACUACCUGGAUUCAUGUUUUAAUUCCCAGAUACUAGAAAAACCUGUUGGCAUAAACAAUAAAUACUUCAUUG
ensembl:lncRNA